AGUGAACGCUGGCGGUAGGCCUAACACAUGCAAGUCGAACGGCAGCACAGUAAGAGCUUGCUCUUACGGGUGGCGAGUGGCGGACGGGUGAGGAAUACAUCGGAAUCUACUUUUUCGUGGGGGAUAACGUAGGGAAACUUACGCUAAUACCGCAUACGACCUACGGGUGAAAGCAGGGGAUCUUCGGGCCUUGCGCAAUUGAAUGAGCCGAUGUCGGAUUAGCUAGUUGGCGGGGUAAAGGCCCACCAAGGCGACGAUCCGUAGCUGGUCUGAGAGGAUGAUCAGCCACACUGGAACUGAGACACGGUCCAGACUCCUACGGGAGGCAGCAGUGGGGAAUAUUGGACAAUGGGCGCAAGCCUGAUCCAGCCAUACCGCGUGGGUGAAGAAGGCCUUAGGGUUGUAAAGCCAUUUUGUUGGGAAAGAAAAGCAGCAGGUUAAUACCCCGCUGUUCUGACGGUACCCAAAGAAUAAGCACCGGCUAACUUCGUG
rnacentral:rRNA from 1 species